CAUUUCACGAGGUAGUUUUUAAGGGAAUAAUAAUAACAUAUGCAUCUGGAGUAAUCUAAAUGGAUUUUUAAAUGCUUAUACGAGUUCAGUAACCCAAACAAUUAGUACAAUUAAACGGCGUAACAAGAAAAGUUAUGGUGAUUAGUGCACCACAUCGGCAACGCUGUAGCUUUGUUUUCCGUUGAGAGGUAUUUUGUUUAUUUCGUUAAAACGUGAUUCCUUAAUUUUUAGGCGUUUUUAUAGUGCAAGACUUAUUCGAUUUAUGGUGUAUUAAUUUAUGGGAGCGCUUUGAAAUGGGGAAAAGCUGUAUUAUUUGUGGAAUUAUUGAAUUACCUAACUCUAACAUAACCUUUCAUCGGUAUUUGUUUUGAUGUCAUAGACGUGCAUACGGGAAUUUUCGCAUUUUAAUGUGUUUAGAUUUCCUUCUAAGUUCCCACUUUGAAGUAUCACCAUACCUUAUCAUAGAUCAAUAGGGACCUUUCAAACACAUACACCUUUUGAUCAUAAAUAUUUAGUGAUACGUUAUUACGUUUGCACAUGUAAACAAAACAUAAACUUUGUUGCCCAUAAAGAUAAAUAAACCCUACGCCACUGACGAGAUGUUGGUUCAAAACAAACAUUCACGUUGUUAUAGCGUACGCGUACUCUAUCUUUAUAUUCUUUAUCGCUUUCAGUAAAAUUGGCGCAUGCCUACAUUUGUCUGCCAAAAGUUAAGGAAAUGCCUUCAGUAAAAAUAGUAAAUUUAUAACCACCAUACUAAAGUAAUCUCAGUAAAAAUAGUAAUCAAAGUCAAUUUAUGACUGCACCCUAACUAUACAGUACAAUACUGUACGAGUUUCAACCGUCAAAUGUCUAGCUAUGUGUACAAAACGACGCGACGAGGGGUUCUCCUCGCUAAAACGGUAUCUUAUCAAGUUCGUUUGUGUAGUGGUAACUUUAGGCACCUGGAAGUGCUAAAGGAUGAAAAUAACGUUGCUAUCGUUACGAUGAAACGCGCACCAGUGAAUAGCCUGAAUACUGAACUUCUGACUGAGAUUUCAAGCGUUUUAACCGAUUUAGAAGAAACCAAGUGUUCAGGAAUGAUUUUAACAUCGUUUUCCGACAAAGUGUUUUGCAGCGGACUAGAUAUUUACGAAAUAUUUAAAUCGAAACCGUCGGCGAUCGGGACGUCAUUCUCUACACUUUUGGAGGUCUUCAUAAAACUAUACGGAAGCACGUUUCCGACGGUGGCUGCAAUCACUGGUCACGCGCCCGGUAGUGGUUGUUUCCUCAGUAUGUCCUGUGAAUACCGCAUAAUGGUGCAAAACUUUAGAAUUGGUUUAAACGAAACGCUGUUAGGGUUUCGUGCCCCUUUACCAUUUGUAAAAUUGAUGCUAAACACAAUCGAUCAUAGAAACGCAGAGCUGGCCUUAACAUCGGGUAGACUUUUUAGCACAAAUGAAGCAUUACAAGUGGGAUUGAUUGAUGAAAUGGCAAAGGAUAGAGCUGACGCAUUUGAUAAAGCAAAUUACUUCCUGAAUCAGUUGAAAAUGAGACCUCCAAUAGCCAGGCAUUUUACUAAACAGAGUAUGAGAGGAGCCCUUCUGCAGAAUUUGCCGUAUCGAUGUUUGCCCGAUAUUUUAGAGUGUACCAGAAAGAAUAUACGUAUUUGAACACAUAUAUUUCAAGUUUAUGCAACCAGUGUUCAAUUAUGUCCUCCAGCAGCGACACGAAAGAUCCUAGGAACGAGCUCACAUUGAUUCAAAUUCCUCCCAUACUCGACAAAGCAUGAUCGGCGUCACUGAUGAUAUAUAUCAGUACGGAUCUGGUACUUUAUUAACUAUUCGAAGUUCUGUGCUAGUGGAGACCCGUACAGAAAAUCAAAUCCGCGCCAGCUAGCCAUAUUUGAAAUAUUGACGAUAAACCAAUUAUGGUAAUAAUAUUGUAACCGAAGCAAAAUCCACUAAGGUAUCUAAACCAACAAGCUUAAUCAUGAACUUGGUAAAAACAUGGCGGGCAGGGAACAUUCGUUCCUCCCACAACCACACCACACCGCAGCUAUCCAUAGUUUAGACGUGUAGAUAAAGUAUGUGGAUAUUUCAAUUAACCGAGAAAUGUACGUUGAAGAUCACGUCUCGUUACUGUUGCAACCUAAUAUAAGACAAUUAAUCACAGUAUAUAUGGCAAACAUAAAAAAUAAAAAGAAUUCCAAGUAA